AAAAAACCUAAAAGGCUCGGGAAGAGCCAAAGAGAACACCGAUGGGCUCUGGGAAGCCCCAGUGAUGCUAGCGAAAACAGCGUGGCUUUUAGGCACCUCCUCAGAGCAGCAGCAAUGUCUCGCUCCAGCCUAUGGGACAAUGGGGACUCUUAAUUACCGCCUUGAAUUACCACAAGUGUUGCAAAAGCAGAAGGGACUAGGGAGCAUGCAGAGCAGGUUAUGGACUAUAUGUCAAGUUUAAACAAGCAACAAGCCCCUCUGCAAACAGAAACAGGUUUAGCCCUAAGUAAUAGACGGAGGUAGCUGUGAGCAACGUGAAGCGAAGCGGUGACGUCAGUCACCCCGAAAGCCUCGGAGAAGCGGUCUGAAAAUCUGGUACCCUUGCGGCCUCGGCAGUCUUUUUGGUCUGUUUGGCAGGGUAGCCCACCGAAGGGGGACAUCUCGAAGAGAAGCAGCAAGACCUGGGGAUCCGGUGGUUCAUUUUGGUCGUCGCCUGUGAGGCCAGCAUGCAAGAGUAAGAGGAAGCUAGGAGCAGUCUCAAAAAGAGAUGGAACCAAGGACAGCAAAUGCUGACGAAGAGAAGAGACGGACGAGCGUUUGCUUGCGGUUAAUACCGAAGGGACGGGAUGAAACAAGGAAGCCAGAAUGCAGCGGCCCCUCGAUAUCACCAGGAACUGCUACAGGAGGAGGCGUUCUGGCACGGGUAACUAGGAUUAAUUGCCACGGCUGAAGUUGAAGAGACCAAGAAACGUAAGCCGCGAAGGGGCACAUCUUGAAGAGAGGGGGCUAGACCUAGCGAUCCAGUUGUUUGUUUUGGUCGUCGCCUGUGAGGCCAGCAUGCAAGAGUAAGAGGAAGCUAGGAGCAGUCUCAAAAAGAGAUGGAACCAAGGACAGCAAAUGCUGACGAAGAGAAGAGACGGACGAGCGUUUGCUUGCGGUUAAUACCGAAGGGACGGGAUGAAACAAGGAAGCCAGAAUGCAGCGGCCCCUCGAUAUCACCAGGAACUGCUACAGGAGGAGGCGUUCUGGCACGGGUAACUAGGAUUAAUUGCCACGGCUGAAGUUGAAGAGACCAAGAAACGUAAGCCGCGAAGGGGCACAUCUUGAAGAGAGGGGGCUAGACCUAGCGAUCCAGUUGUUUGUUUUGGUCGUCGCCUGUGAGGCCAGCAUGCAAGAGUAAGAGGAAGCUAGGAGCAGUCUCAAAAAGAGAUGGAACCAAGGACAGCAAAUGCUGACGAGGAGAAGAGACGGACGAGCGUUUGCUUGUGGUUAAUACCGAAGGGACGGGAUGAAACAAGGAAGCCAGAAUGCAGCGGCCCCUCGAUAUCACCAGGAACUGCUGCAGGAGGAGGCGUUCUGGCACGGGUAACUAGGAUUAAUUGCCACGGCUGAAGUUGAAGAGACCAAGAAACGUAAGCCGCGAAGGGGCACAUCUUGAAGAGAGGGGGCUAGACCUAGCGAUCCAGUUGUUUGUUUUGGUCGUCGCCUGUGAGGCCAGCAUGCAAGAGUAAGAGGAAGCUAGGAGCAGUCUCAAAAAGAGAUGGAACCAAGGACAGCAAAUGCUGACGAGGAGAAGAGACGGACGAGCGUUUGCUUGUGGUUAAUACCGAAGGGACGGGAUGAAACAAGGAAGCCAGAAUGCAGCGGCCCCUCGAUAUCACCAGGAACUGCUGCAGGAGGAGGCGUUCUGGCACGGGUAACUAGGGUAAGUAUCGCUAAUGACCGUUAGCAGUUAUUUCGGCCUCCCCGAGGCAGCGCUGAGGACUGAGUAACCUGAGGGGCUCUGGCCUGGGUUAGGGCAGAAGUGCAGGCAGGUGGGAUCAGGCAUUUUCCUCUCAGCUCUCCAAGCUGAAUCCUAGCCCUGAAGGAAAAAGCACCGACGGACGGACGGACGGACAGACGCUGGUGCGGCGGUGACUCUUUGGAUAUCGUAGGUAAGGGGAGGCACGCUGGUGCCGAGCUCCAGGGCGGUUUGCCUGAACACGAUGCCCGGGGCAGGAGGUUACGCAUUGUGUCCGGGGCUGGGAGCUGGUCCCCGAGUCCCAUGUACUUGGGAGUGCCUGCGCUUGCCAGGGAGCCCGGUGCUGUUCCCAGAGCUGCGGGGAAUUUCCCUUGCGUUGCCUGGACCCUCGGGGCUCUUGGGGGUGUUUCCCCUCAUCGCAAGGGCAGCCAGAGCCCCUCCAGGGCUGCGUGAGGUCCCCGAACCGCUCCCGGAUUUGCUUUUGGCACUCCGCAGUGUCGCUCGUGUGCCUGGGGCAGCCUGCAGGCGCCAUCCUGUCAGCCGCGUUGAGCCCUGCGGCGUGCCUGGUGACCCCUCUGGUGUGCGCCAAGGCCCUUCCUCUGUAUUUUGGUCUGCCCCAGAGCCCUGCACUUGCCCUCUGAUGCCCUCAGGACCCCUCAGUUCACAUUCUGGGUUGCCCCCGAGCCCUCUGCGUGCCUUUCGGUGCGCCCUGUGGCCCCGUGUGUGUUUUGCGGCACGCCGCAGAGGUCUCUGUGUAGCUUUUUCUCCUGUCCUGGAGUUUUCUGGGUGCUUCUGGGUGUGCCCCAGGGCCCUCCUUUUGGUGCCCCCAGAGUCACUCUGUUUGCUCUAUCGUUCUUUUUUUUUUUUUUUUUUCUUGACUUGUGUUGCACCCAGAGCUCUCGAUUUGUUCUCUUGUGCUCCGCAUACUCCCCUUUCCGCACUCUACACCCCAGG